CGAACGCUGGCGGCAGGCCUAAUACAUGCACGUCGAACGGCUCUUCGGAGCAGUGGCGGACGGGUGAGUAACGCGUGGGAAUGUGCCCUUAGGUACGGAACAACACAGGGAAACUUGUGCUAAUACCGUAUGUGCCCUUCGGGGGAAAGAUUUAUCGCCUUUGGAGCAGCCCGCGUUGGAUUAGGUAGUUGGUGAGGUAAAGGCUCACCAAGCCGACGAUCCAUAGCUGGUCUGAGAGGAUGACCAGCCACACUGGGACUGAGACACGGCCCAGACUCCUAUGGGAGGCAGCAGUAGGGAAUCUUGCGCAAUGGGCGAAAGCCUGACGCAGCCAUGCCGCGUGUAUGAUGAAGGUCUUAGGAUUGUAAAAUACUUUCACCGGGGAAGAUAAUGACGGUACCCGGAGAAGAAGCCCCGGCUAACUUCGUGCCAGCCGCCGCAGUAAAAC
rnacentral:rRNA from 1 species